GUGCCAUUAGCUCAGCUGGGAGAGCAUCUGCCUUACAAGCAGAGGGUCGGCGGUUCGAGCCCGUCAUCCUCCACCA
rnacentral:tRNA from 1 species